AUCCAGCUGACGAGUCCCAAAUAGAACGAAACACGAUUCUUAGAU
rfam:Schistosoma mattheei strain Denwood, Zambia genome assembly, scaffold: SMTD_scaffold0002168